GGCACUCAUUAGUCAUAUGACUUAAUUUCUUGUUAGUUAACGACGCAUAAUUGCGCGCCGUAAAUGAUAUCGUCUCUGAGAUCACACUCCCUCAGCUCUCGAUUGUCAAAUCCGCCUCCGCCAGUGUGCCAUCCAAGGCGGAGCUCCAGAAGUUCGGCCUCUCCGACGACGAUCUCAGAGACUUCGUCAAGGGACUCACUUCCGAAUUUUUGAUUCGGAUCUUCAAAUGCGAACCAUUUCGAUCGAAUAGUUGACUCUCUCUAAUCCUUCCUGCUCUGCACUUCGCUCCUCGAAGCUCAGUUCGAGGUUUUAGGAAAGAUUUGACGGAGUGGCGGGAGCGACAUACAUGCCACUUUGGUUCUCACUACUGAUAAGAUCUGACCUUUGGGGAGGCACUACUUCCAGAACACACAGGGUCUUAUCUUUGUUGUAGACAGCAGUGACAGAGACCGUGUUGUUGAGGCAAGGGAUGGAUUGCACAGGAUGUCAAAUGCGGUUUGUUCUAAUCUUGUGAGGGCACGUUUACAGACAUGUUUUUUAUCCUUGCAGUGGCUCUGAUGAGCUGCGAGAAGCUGUGUUGCUUGUUUUUGCCAACAAACAAGAUCUCCCCAGUGCAAUGAAUGCUACUGAAAUUACUGAUAAGCUUGGCCUCCACUCUCUCUGACAACGUCACUGGUAUAUCCAGAACACUGGUGCAACCUCUGGAGUGGGUCUGUAUGAAGGCCUGGAUUGGCUCUCCAACAACAUUGCUAACAAGGCUUGAUCCCUAUUUGGGAGUCAUUGUGAGGACUGCCAAUUCUGGAUGCAGGAAUGAAUAUUAUCUAGUUUGUUUUAGUGAAUAUGUUGAAAGCUAGAUGCAGUUUAUGUAGAUUAGGAUCAACAGGUAGUGUUACUAUAUUGAAGUUAUUUAUUAACUUUCAGUGAAGUGUUCUUAUCUUUCUUCUAUAACAAAUCUUUUCCUGGCCAGAAAUUAAUUGACAUUUUUUAUUUUAA